AAAGAAACUAACAAGGAUUCCCCUAGUAACGGCGAGCGAAGCGGGAAGAGCUCAAAUUUGUAAUCUGGCGCUUUCAGCGUCCGAGUUGUAAUCUCUAGAAAUGUUUUCCGCGUUGGACCGCACACAAGUCUGUUGGAAUACAGCGGCACAGUGGUGAGACCCCCGUUCAUGGUGCGGAUGCCCAAUGCUUUGUGAUACAUUUUCGAAGAGUCGAGUUGUUUGGGAAUGCAGCUCAAAAUGGGUGGUAAAUUCCAUCUAAAGCUAAAUAUUGGCGAGAGACCGAUAGCGAACAAGUACCGUGAGGGAAAGAUGAAAAGCACUUUGGAAAGAGAGUUAACAGUACGUGAAAUUGUUGGAAGGGAAACGCUUGAAGUCAGACUUGCUGUUCGGAGUUCAGCC
rnacentral:rRNA from 1 species